rnacentral:misc_RNA from 1 species
AACAUGUUCACUCCAUAGCUAUAUAUGGGAGUUCAUCUAAUGUAUUAAUGAUGAAUGCAACCUCAUGCUGGUUAUGUAAUAGGAGUAUAAUUUGGACGAUUCUUAUUAUGCAAAAAUGUUUAAAAGACACAGUAUUCUUCAGACAUAGACGAAGUUUACUUUGUUCUUUUUUAUUUAUCACAUUUUAGUUAAUAAAGAACUGGCCGACGAUAAAUAUUUGAUAACGACAAGUCGAUAACGUACUACUAUGUUGUGCUGGCCUUCCUACCGAAGACUGGAUUCCCGUACGGUACGAAGUGGCACACCGGCGUGCCUAGGCGGACGCGCAGUAUCCGGAACGCCGGAUGGUCCGGGCUCCAGCCGGAGGUGUCGCGGUGGCAGAACGCCAGCACGUCGUCGAGCACCGGCCCCCCGCGGCCGCGAAGCGAGACCACGUAGGCCCUGUCCGUCUUCCUCGUCGUCAUGUGGCACUGGUACACGGCGUACGGGAACGGCACGCGGUGGCAGGCCACGAGUUGGUCUCCGUGGAGCGGGGCGACCGCCCCGACCACGUACCGCCCGCGCGGCAGGCCAGCGCGGAGGCGCGCCGACGUGGCCGCCGCCCACACACCGUCACCGCCGGCGGCGCCGAGCAUGCGCGUGGCGCUCCGCACCGUGCUUUCCAGCGACGUGGCGCAGGCGGCCACGCGCUCGCCGGCCGGCCGCGGCGGCGCCUCGCACCACCUGAGCGUGUCCCGCACGUGCUCGGCCUCGGCGGAGCCCCCGGCGACGCCGAACGUGGCGAAGACGGCCGUCAGGUUCGCGAAUGGAGCGGCGGCGGCGACGGCGUGCGGGAGGAUGGGUGUGUCCACUUCCGCCGGGAAGGAGAGCGCCAUGGCGCUGCCCGGACGCAGUUCCGCCUCGUGGAAGAAGAUGCCCGUCCCCGCCGCCACGCUGCGCGUGCACAGGUUGCUCCAUGCGCCGCACGCGCUGAGGCCGGGCGCCGAAGGGUAUCGCUCCACCAGCGGCGAGUGGUCGAUGCCUGUCGCAGCAGCAUCAGGAAACAAGAAGAAGAGUAACGUACACAGGCUGUAUAUAAGCACAAGGGGUACCUUUCUGGACGAGGUCAGCGAUGGCCUCCGGCAUCGGCGUGCCCGGGAGGGCCUGCUGCCAGAACUGCGCCGCCGGAGUGCUAGCGGAAGGGUGGUCAUGCGCCGCAGCGGCGCCGGUGACCACCACCGUCAAAAUGAGCAGUUUAGAUGGAUGCAUAUACAUGUCCCGCGACAAGCAAGAACAUAUAUAUUCGAGAAGAAGCGAGUAAGGAAGCUUGCCUCUUUGUUUCAGA